ACGGCAGCACGGGGGCAACCCUGGUGGCGAGUGGCGAACGGGUGAGUAAUACAUCGGAACGUGUCCUGUAGUGGGGGAUAGCCCGGCGAAAGCCGGAUUAAUACCGCAUACGCUCUACGGAGGAAAGGGGGGGAUCUUAGGACCUCCCGCUACAGGGGCGGCCGAUGGCAGAUUAGCUAGUUGGUGGGGUAAAGGCCUACCAAGGCGACGAUCUGUAGCUGGUCUGAGAGGACGACCAGCCACACUGGGACUGAGACACGGCCCAGACUCCUACGGGAGGCAGCAGUGGGGAAUUUUGGACAAUGGGGGCAACCCUGAUCCAGCAAUGCCGCGUGUGUGAAGAAGGCCUUCGGGUUGUAAAGCACUUUUGUCCGGAAAGAAAACGCCGUGGUUAAUACCCGUGGCGGAUGACGGUACCGGAAGAAUAAGCACCGGCUAACUACGUGCCAGCAGCCGCGGUAAUACGUAGGGUGCAAGCGUUAAUCGGAAUUACUGGGCGUAAAGCGUGCGCAGGCGGUCCGCUAAGACAGAUGUGAAAUCCCCGGGCUUAACCUGGGAACUGCAUUUGUGACUGGCGGGCUAGAGUAUGGCAGAGGGGGGUAGAAUUCCACGUGUAGCAGUGAAAUGCGU
rnacentral:rRNA from 1 species